rnacentral:rRNA from 1 species
UACGUAGGGUGCGAGCGUUAAUCGGAAUUACUGGGCGUAAAGCGUGCGCAGGCGGUUUUGUAAGCCGGAUGUGAAAUCCCCGGGCUUAACCUGGGAAUGGCAUUCGGGACUGCAAGGCUGGAGUGCGGCAGAGGAGACUGGAAUUCCUGGUGUAGCAGUGAAAUGCGUAGAGAUGUGGAGGAACACCGAUGGCGAAGGCAGCCCCCUGGGCUAACACUGACGCUCAUGCACGAAAGCGUGGGGAGCAAACAGG